rnacentral:misc_RNA from 1 species
AAAAUAUAGUGCUUCGUAUUAAUCGUUUCUAUCAUUUCACAUGUACAAAUUAAUAUCUCGCAAACGCCUUUAAAUAAAUUGCUAGAUCUAUGUAUUACUCGUGUACGUAUAAAUAAUCUAGACAUUUCACCUUCCUGAUGAAAAUUCAUACCAUUAAAUAUGAUACUAACUUUUAGCUGCACAAUACAUAGGAAGUUACGAAUCACAUCGUAACGUGAAAAGUGUAUCAUUUAAACUAUUUCGUUUAUGGAAUAAGAAUGUGGUUUCUUAUUCGCAAGUUAAUUAAGAGAAUCGUUUAAUAUAGAAACAUAGAGGCACAUUUGCAAAGAAAGUACGUAACCGUAAGAAAAGUGAAAUCAUGUAUCUCUAUCGUCGGUAUCCUUUCAUUUUCCAAGGCUACGAUCUGUUCCAGUUGCAGUUAUCACCCUGUACAUACGCAUAUACAGAUACAUGUACAUAUAUGUAUACAUAUUUCCAUUUGCUCACAAGGCAAGAUACAAAAUCACGAUACAGGAGACGAACACACGACUGUCUUGCAAAGUGAACAAUGCAUCUACAUGAAAGGAACCAAAACGGUCCUGUCAGUGCAGUUAUAUCUCAAUCAAUUGUUUCGUAUCUUCUAUAUCUUCCUCUUUCCUCCUCGUUCCGCUUCUUUUUUUUUCUUUUUUUUUGUCUUUAUUUUUUUUAGUGGGUUAUAUUUUUUCUUUUUUUCUGAGCUGGCGAGGGGGAGGAAAUUUGCACUUAUGACGGAAGUAAGUUUUGGCUCAGCUACCGGGCUGCGCGGCCACUCAUAGAGACACGAUUAACAGUGCUGUACCGCUAUGCGUGCCACGGCCCAAAUAGUUAAUAGAUAUGGAAACGAACACGUUCCAAAUAAAGGGCGGGGUAGGUAGGCUACCUACACCUAGGUCCUACACUCCUACACCUAGGCCUAACGAUAACUACACGUGCCGACACGUCUACCUAGUCCAUUGGCAGGUAGCUCGUAUGUAUUCGUUGAAUUUUGCGCGAACUCUUCGAUACAACAGGAUUCGUUUUCCCUUUUUCUUUUGUUUUUUGUUUCUUUUUUUUUCG